AUUGAACGCUGGCGGCAUGCCUUACACAUGCAAGUCGAACGGCAGCAUGGAGAGCUUGCUCUCUGAUGGCGAGUGGCGAACGGGUGAGUAAUGCAUCGGAACGUACCGUGUAAUGGGGGAUAACGUAGCGAAAGUUACGCUAAUACCGCAUACGACCUGAGGGUGAAAGCAGGGGAUCGCAAGACCUUGCGUUAUACGAGCGGCCGAUGUCAGAUUAGCUAGUUGGUGAGGUAAAGGCUCACCAAGGCGACGACCUGUAGCGGGUCUGAGAGGCGGGUCGGCCACGCGGGGACUGAGACACGGCCCAUACUCCUCCGUGAGGCAGCAGUGGGGAAUUUUGGACAAUGGGGGCAACCCUGAUCCAGCCAUGCCGCGUGAGUGAAGAAGGCCUUCGGGUUGUAAAGCUCUUUCGGCCGGGAAGAAAUCGCACAGGCUAAUACUCUGUGUGGAUGACGGUACCGGCAUAAGAAGCACCGGCUAACUACAUGCCAGCCGCCGCGGUAA
rnacentral:rRNA from 1 species